GAUGAACGCUAGCGGCAGGCCUAACACAUGCAAGUCGAGGGGUAACAUAGGAAAGCUUGCUUUUCUGAUGACGACCGGCGCACGGGUGCGUAACGCGUAUACAACUACCUUUUAGCGGGGAAUAGCCCAGGGAAACUUGGAUUAAUGACCCCAUAGUAUAUAGACUUCUCCUGAAGUUUAUAUUAAACAUUUAUGGCUAUUAGAUGGGUAUGCGUCCUAUUAGUUGGUUGGUAAGGUAACGGCUUACCAAGGCAGCGAUAGGUAGGGGUCCUGAGAGGGAGAUCCCCACACUGGUACUGAGACACGGACCAGACUCCUACGGGAGGCAGCAGUGAGGAAUAUUGGACAAUGGGCGAGAGCCUGAUCCAGCCAUGCCGCGUGCAGGAAGACUGCCCUAUGGGUUGUAAACUGCUUUUACAGAGGAAGAACCACCCCACGUGUGGGGGUUUGACGGUACUCUGCGAAUAAGGAUCGGCUAACUCCGUG
rnacentral:rRNA from 1 species